ACGCUAGCGGCAGGCUUCAUACAUGCAAGUCGAGGGGCAGCAUAAAUUACUUGUAAUUUGAUGGCGACCGGCGAACGGGUGCGUAACGCGUAUGCAACUUACCUUUUACUAGAGAAUAGCCAAGAGAAAUUUUGAUUAAUGCUCUAUACACUUAUUAAUUCUCAUGAAUUUAUAAGAAAAGCUCCGGCGGUAAAAGAUGGGCAUGCGUCCUAUUAGCUUGUAGGUGAGGUAAAGGCUCACCUAAGCUCCGAUAGGUAGGGGUCCUGAGAGGGAGAUCCCCCACACUGGUACUGAGACACGGACCAGACUUCUACGGAAGGCAGCAGUAAGGAAUAUUGGACAAUGGAGGCAACUCUGAUCCAGCCAUGCCGCGUGAAGGAAGACGGCCUUAUGGGUUGUAAACUUCUUUUAUACAGGAAGAAACCUUUCCACGUGUGGAAAGCUGACGGUACUGUAAGAAUAAGGAUCGGCUAACUCCGUGCCAGCAGCCGCGGUAAUACGGAGGAUCCAAGCGUUAUCCGGAAUUAUUGGGUUUAAAGGGUCCGCAGGCUGUUUGUUAAGUCAGAGGUGAAAUCCUACCGCUCAACGGUAGAACUGCCUUUGAUACUGGCAAACUUGAGUUAUUGUGAAGUAGUUAGAAUGUGUAGUGUAGCGGUGAAAUGCAUAGAUAUUACACAGAAUACCGAUUGCGAAAGCAGAUUACUAACAAUAUACUGACGCUGAGGGACGAAAGCGUGGGUAGCGAACAGGAUUAGAUACCCUGGUAGUCCACGCCGUAAACGAUGGUCACUAGCUGUUUGAUGUACAUUGGUACAUUGAGUGGCUAAGCGAAAGUGAUAAGUGACCCACCUGGGGAGUACGC
rnacentral:rRNA from 1 species